ensembl:lncRNA
GGGAUUCCAGCUGUAGAAACUAUACUUACAAAAUGUUUGGGGCCACAUGAAACGUGAAAUCGAAAAGCCUUGGUUCUUCCUUUCCCUCUUUGUUACAUCAGAUCUGGUCGCACUGUGUGAAUGUUUGACCCCCAAAAGAGGGGGAGUGAGGAAAGAGACCAGCCUUACUGUCAUGCCGAAGGCAUUUAUGUUCAUUAUGGACCGAAGUAAAAAAAGAGAGGCAGCCAGCCAAGCAAAACGUGUAAUAGAGUACUGAAAAAUUGUUAAGUCAUGGGAUGUAUGAUCCAGCAUCACUCAAUUCCCUCAUUUCCAAAUGGCAGAGAUCUGAAAAUUGCCCACUUUCAUAUCAUUUACUGAGGGUUAACAAAAAGAUCCAUUCUCUCUCAUGCUGUGUUCCCUAGAGUUUCUAAUUUAUGUGGUUUUGCUGUUGUGGUCCUUUUCUGCUUUCAGAAAUGUCCCUGGAAAAAUGUUGAUCUUCCCCAGAAGCCGGUUAAUCGUGCUCAGUUUACUAUGAAAUGAUUGUUUUUUUCUUUUUAAUGGCUUAUCUUGCAAAUCAAACAGAGAUUGGCUCAUCUAUCUGAGCUCACGCUUUCUUGCACAUUAACAACAGUGCAGAAGGGAGUUAAAUUUUGCCCACAGUUAUUGCAGGCAGUCACGGUUUUCCAGCUAUUCUGAGAGUAAUGUCCCUGGAAUCCUAUUAUCUUGAGUAGUAGAGAUUAGGCUGAAUUAAGCAGCUAUUUUCCACCAGUGAUAUGGAAUAGAAACAAGCUCCUCCUCUAACAUUUACUGAAUUUGCAGACCUAACACAUAGUAUGAACAACUUUCCAACACAGCCAGGUUUGAGGGUUUCAAUGAAGCAUGUGUUUUCUUGACUACGUUUACAGAGUACACAUGUAUUCAAAAAGCGGAGUGUUGAGAGCAACAGAAGCAGAGCAAUUUGUCCAAAAGCAUUCUGUUUCCUCACAUCCCAUCACUUUCUUCAAUGGUAAAUUAAUUUCAAUGUCAACUCGCUGUGAGACCCAACAGUCUGUAUGGCAAUACCUCUGGUUGCACUCCUAGGCCCUGCCAGCCUGCCCAGGGCUUUCUGAAAUUAGUUACAACAUACUUUGUGACCAGACAUGCUGAAUAGCUCAAUUAAUCUAACAGUCGUGUUAAACUGAACUAUGUGAGCAUGAACGACUGGACUUUCCAAGAAAAGCACUUGCAGGUAAGUGUAACAGUCACUUAUUUCUCCUAGAGAUGAAAUUCGCCAUUUGUUUUUAUCACAUGUGGAAAAACUCAAAUGCAUUCCCAGUGUAAAAUGCUAACCCUGGUAGCAGGACAUGGGAAACCUCUGCUGUUGGGGAUGUCACGUGGAAAGGAAGAAACGCCCUGAAAGACCCCAAGAUAGUGGAAGACUGUAAGCUGGAAGAAGACCCAUGUCUCUAUAAGAUGGUGCCUGUGAAAGCUCAGAAAGCUCCUUCCUAAAUUAAUUUUGCUUACUUCUAAAGUCCUCUAAUGGUUGUGAACACUGAUGUUUUCUUUGGCAAUGGGAAGCAGAGGAUCGUGCAUGAGGUCUUACUGGAGCUGGCUGUGGGCCGUGUGGUCUGACUGAGCAAUUCAAAUAUCUAGAUAGUGCAUUCAGUGCCAUGUGUACAAUUACCUCAUCUUCUUACCAGCUCGUAAUCUUGAGACUUUCCUACAACAGAAUCUCUGUUCUGUCUUUUGAACACAACCAAAUAGCAGCAGUUCUUUAAAAAAAGUGUUAGACUGCCGAAGAGUAGUGUUAGUGUUGCGGCAUUGCUUUCAUGCUGAGAAAUCAAUGACACCUUCCCAAACAUGCAUAAAUCACCUUGAAAUAUUACUUAAUAAUUUAGAUUCAUGCCCAACUCUGCUGAAGUCAACAGCAUUAAACGGAGCUGGCUGUAUGGCAGAGCUCAGCAAAGAGAGAGAGAGCUGAGGGAGAUUUGGAAGAAAACAAGAAACCUGGAUAUGCUCACAGGCACUGUUCAGCACACAGUGCAUGGGCACGCACAGCACACAGUGCCACACAGACACCUCCAGCAGAAAACCUCCAGCAAAAAAACCCCAGAAUUCUAGUGAUAUAUAAAAAAAUAAAUCUUGAGGUUUUACCAGUAGAGGGAAACAGAGCACCUUGGCUGUGACCUGCUCACAGAUGCAGGACUGUUGCUGAUGUCUUGUUUCCCUUUUCUUUGAUGAUGAUAUUGGGUUUCCCCUUCUCCCAGUGGUCUCCCAGUGUGACCCCUUGAUUCCCACAGAGCAACCAAAGCAGACGAGGUCCCAGCACGUCCUCAUCACCCACUGCAGCUUAGGGCACUUUCAGCAUCUUGCUGUCCUCCUUGUCUCUUCCCAAAACUGGGAUAGUAUUUGCCUUUGGAAUACAAAUGAAACCCACAGAGUUGGUUUCAUGAAGUUAAGUUGCUAAAUCUCCGCUGAAGCUUUUAAAUACAAGUAGCUCAGUCUUCAAAGCUGUUGCAUACCUGUGACCAUGGAACUUGUGGUUUCCUAGCACUUUGGAUAAUUAAGCCCCUAAAGAUGUCCAUCAGCACUUGCAUUCGGCAUUGGGAUCCUGGUUGGAUGGAUAGAGUUGUUUUGGGGGGGAUUGAUUUGUAUUCCUCAAUGCAUUAAGAAAUAUCUAAGCACUCUUACAGGCAAAUUGUAAGUGGUGGUUUUGCUCACUUUUCAGAUUCCCCCUUUCUCAGAGUAGUGACUGUGGUACACACACAUACAAAAAAAAGACUGUAUCUGUAUUUUGUAUGGUACAAAUAGAAUGACAGCUCCUUGAAAGCAACAAGAUCAUUAAGUUUCUAAGCAAAAAUGAAAUCCUUGAUAUCCCAGGGAUGGAUCAUGCCUCUAGACAGAAAAGUCUGUGAUUUGGGAGAUUUUCUACUCAUGCAAAUGUGUGCACAGUGUCCGCAUGCAAUCCCAGCUUUCUCUUGUCUGUCCCACGUCCUUUGACAUUCUGAAAAUGACACGUUAACAGUGGUAAAGGAGGGAAGUUGGCAAGCUGUUUGAAGUCUACCUUCAUUAGUCCAGCAGAUGUAUAGAAUGAUACCAGGCCCAUGGGCAACAAGAAGUAGUGAUUUUUUAACAGACUUAAUUUCCUAAGAUUGUGAAAUAAGAGUGAACAGUGGGCUAAGGCCUGCCACCCAAGUCAGGGACUUGAGGUGAGCUGAGGUGCCGCUGUUGCCCAAGACUUGUUAGGAUGCAAGGUACGGGUACCACUAUGGAGAAAGAUGUGGUUGUAAUGUACACCCAGGCCUGAAGAGCCUUCCUGGAUCCCACAGCUGAGAGAACUCCUUGGACAGACUCCAAAAUGUGACCCAUGCUCUGCACAUAUAAAUUCAACAGCUCACAUUUUAAGUUUGGCUAACCACAGGCUUGGAGCAUGCAGUAACCAAAAAGUGUAAUGUGUAGGUAGUGGAGUUUUCACAGAUUCAUUUUUCCUGAUGAGUAGCACUGUGACCAUUAACAUUCUUCUUGAAGGAAUCAAUACUCUCUUACCGUCAAAACCUAUUAGAAAAAAAAAAAAGUACUCAUUUAUAGGGUUAUUACUGCUUAGAUUAGAUCAGUAGGCAAAUCUGAUUUUUCUGAGAAUUGAGGUUAUUUGGGAGUUUUCCCUUGCCAUUGAAUUCUUGCAUUAAAAAUGGGUCUCACAGAAGAGUGAUGACGAAUUACUGAAAACGUGUAUUUUUUCAGACACAUUCUUAUAUGCUGGGAUACGCUGGGCAUUCUGCUGGGCAUUCUUAUAUGCUGGGCAUUCUUAUAUUUCUGGGCAGCCUGGUCUAGUGGCUGGCAACCCUGCACAUAGCAGGGGAGUUGAAACUCGAUGAUCAUUGUGGUCCUUUUCAACCCAGGCCAUUCUAUGAUUCUGUGAUUCUAUGCUCAUCAGUAAAAGACAUCGCUGUAGCACCACAUCUUUAUUUUAUGGGCAGCAGUCUUUAUUUUUCUUCUUCCAUGUGAACCGCACUGUUAGCCAAAACACUGCUUAUCGUGAAAACUUUGCACGUGGUUGGAAAAAUGCUGAGCAAAUGGCACAUGACAUUGAAUUAUCAGCAUCAUUUGUUCUGAAGUGAGAGCAUACAAACAAUUAUUUUAAAAUCUGUAUUUCUAUAAGUUUUCUCUGUGGUUUUGUUCCACUGGCUUUUAACACAGAACUUUGCAGGCGUGAUAGAAAUUGUCACAGGGUUUUUUCAGGGUGGACUAGCAAGUAAAAUGCCACAGGUUGGAUUAUAUUAAAUUGCCUCAGCUACCAAACAUUUUCUUAUUAUUGUUGCAUUAAAUGGUAACAGGAUUUCUUACAUAACUCAUUUUUGCACCUUUUUUUUAGGGGAGAGGAGGAAAAAAAGAAAUUGUUCUUAUGUUUUAGCUAUUUUCUGUCUUCCCUUCUUUCCUUCUUUCCUUCCUUCUUUCCUUCUUUUCUUCUUACUUUCCUCACUUUUUCCCUGCCCCUCUGCUCUGUGCUGGUGAGGCCUCACCUGGAGAGCUGCAUCCAGAUGUGGAGUCCUCAGUACAGGAGAGACAUGGAGCUGUUGGAGUGCAUCCAGAGGAGGGCCACAAAAAUGAUCCAAGGGAUGGAACAGCUCCCUAUGAGGACAGGCUGAGAGAGCUGGGGCUGCUUAGCCUGGAGAAGAGAGGGCUCCGGGAUAAUUCAGAUAAUUUGGAAAGAAUUAUAUCCUUAAGUGAUAUCCUAAAUGUCUCCAUUUCUGUGUGAUUUCUGUGUGAUGGGAGACUUACAGAAGCGAAAUGUAAUAUUAGCCAACAGCAGUACUGAUGAUGCUUUGUUUAGUAGGGUUGCAGUAAUCACCAGCCACUGGUGAGCCUGAAAACUGCGGACAAACCAUGCUAAGUAGACCACUGGCAUUCUCUACAAACAUCAAAAUGAAACAUGAUGCAUUAAAUAGCUUGUAUUUUCUGUUCUGUCUAUUUUCUACUUGUAUUUCAAACUCUUUUGAGUAAAAAUAAAGAGCUCAGUUGGUGUGAACAGCUCCAGUAAGAAUAUGCCAUGUAGAUCAUUUGGGUACGGUGAAGUGUUCCCUUAUAGCAUUAUUUUUGUUAGCUGCUAAGUUGCCAAAAACACUGUCUACUUCAUCUGAAGUUAUCUUACCCACUUUUUGCCAGAUAUUUUACCUGUGUUCUUUAGAUUCAGGCAAACAGUAACUCAGUUCCUUGGAAAUCCAAAUGAAAUGCAAAAAUACACUUCAUAUUUCACUUACCUGAUUUACAUUCCAAGUGGCUAUUUGUUGGAGCAUGUACUUUCCUAGGGAAAUAGGCUUCAACAAAGGUACCUUGCAGUGGCCCAGUGAAGACUGUCUUUCUGUCUAAUAUCGUUGCAAAUGUUUUCAUACUUGGAGUGCUUUUGCCUUGUAAAUUAUUCAGGUGGAAACGUUAUGCUGCAUAAGAUCACACUGAAGAGCCAGAGAAUGAAGACUGCUGCACAGGGAUGAAAGGAAAGUACGCAUAAGAGACUUUGUAACCAGUCUUCUCUUUUUCUCAAAACAUCAAAUCUGUAUGUAUUUCUGAUGUCUAUAGAGAAAGAAUUUGCUUUGGGGUUCUUUGCUUGAAGCAGACCACUCUCCUCGCCCUGCUAUGCCAUUGAAGCAUUGCAGCAACAGGCAAAUGCAGCUCCUGGUGGGUGCUCCCGUGGUUUAUGCUGUUUGGUUCACUUCCUGACACUGAGAAGAUUAAUACUGGACCAGCUUUCUGCUCUCUCAUUUUGAUCUUAAAGUGACUCCACGAAGGUGCACAGACAGAUAUUUAAAUCUCCUAGCUGGGGUGAUACUCCAGUCCCAAGGUCAGAAUGAUGGCAUUUUUCAACCUGACAUUUUUCUACCUGCACCUCCUGCCCUUGAAUUUAGUUCAUCUAUUGUGAAGUGGGGACUAUCAUCCCCCUUUUGGGUACUUAGGAAAACAUUCUCUAUGAUUUCUCAAGAACGAGGCUUAACGUCACGAGCUGAACACCAGAAUGAGGGGUUUGGGGAUUUUUUUUCGGCAGUAUCAUGCAACAGGAAACCCUCUAGAGCACUUGCAUUCCUUCUCCACAUAGACUGGACUUGUGGAGAAGGAGCUAUCAAGUUAUUAAGAUUCAAUGAGGAAAUGGUGUUGUAUGGGUAAUAAUCGUGAACUCUGGUCAUCAGCAGCAAUCAGAAUCACUUACAGAACUGUGUCCUUCUCCAGUGCCUCAUCCAUGGGCAAUGUGCACACCUUCAUGCCUUUGUGGCCAAGAAACCAAGCUGCAACAGGCUUGUAGCAGGGUGCACGGGGUGCAGAGAAUGCUGUAUUGACCAGACCGUAGGAGCCAUAAAUGUGACCCAUAAAGGUCUCCUUGAAGGGCAUCUCUGUAGAUAAGAACUGGGCACUUCCUGGAGGUACCAUCAAUAAGGAAAAAUUCAACAAACUAACAGCAACUUGUCACCUGAACAGGUAAAAAUAGUAUGGAAAACAGAAAAUAUUCUCAGAAAGUAGGAAUUAUCAACUCCUAUUGGAUGUUCUACCUGCAAGAAAGGAAAAUAGUGAGGGGAAAGUAAAAAAAAAGGUUAUCUUGAGAGAAAAAUAGAAAUUAUCAGCAUUUCUUGGCAACUAUAAAAAUAACUCAUUUUCCAUCCAAAGUUGAGUCUUUUUUCUCUGAGAACUUCCUGUGCUGCACAAAACUUUCCUUUUUCCUAAAAGAUCCUCUAUACAAAUCAAACCUUCACUGCAGACACCCCUUUGGCCCUGAGCUGCAUCUUCAACUUGAGACUUUGUUAUCUUACUGGUCCCACUCCUGGGCUCACUUCUGUGGUCGGACCUCACUGACCUUUUUCUGGGGUCAGUUAGACAUCAUCUGGGACCUUUUUAUUGGCACUUGGUACCAACAGCAUUUUUAAAUAUCUAUAUAUAUAUACAUACAAACAUAAGUAAUCAUUCAUAAGUGUAUUUGCUACUUUACUACUGCUAAGUUUGUAGUAACAUGUAAUAUUGAGAGAAUGAGAGAUUUGCAUUCCUGGUAAUAAUCCAUGUUAGCUUGAUACCUACUUGCUUUAUUAAUCUUAGGUAUACUUGAUAGCUGGAAUUUGUAAUAACCUGUGACAGAGAAAUCUGAGAAAUAGAGCCUACAUGCCCUUGUGCAUUACAGCAGUUUACAAACUCCCUGAUGUAACGUCCAUUGAGGCUGGGUCAUCCUUUAGGUCACGACAUCCCAAGGGGUCCACACCUGAAGCUGAGUCUGGCUCUUUCUGCCCCUUGCUGUGGUUGACUGCCUCAGCAAGUGGCAGCAGCCAGACUCAAUGGCCAACAUGUCCUCAGCUGCCGUCAGCAGAUGCUUUCCCUUUUCCCUUUGCUGUCUAUAACUCCCCCCUCCAUGGCAAUAAAGAAGCAGAGCAGGGCACGCAUCCCUGCCCUCCUGCCUUGUUUUAUCUUGUGGGCUCUAUGUGCCACUUAAGACAGCACAGUAAAAGCACUCUAUUGAAGAUAAAAUACGACCGCCUGACACCACUCCAUCUCAGUCACAGCAGUCCCUGGUAACUGCCUUUCUGCGGAUGUGACACAAAUUCAAGUCCUGAAAAGAGCUUAGGACUGAAGAAUUUUUGGCCUGCUUGCAGCUUUGUGCAUGUAUUUCGUGCCACCAGCUCAACGCAGCAGUCAUGUGCAGCAUUCCCCGCUCCCUCCCCCGCUGCUGGGGUGUUAGGAGAAAUAAUUCUCACUCUGUGGCCGCGAAAGAUAACACAGAAAUCUCAGGAACACACGAACCAGGCAGCCCCCCACCAUCUCCAGCCCACAUACACUGACAUUGUGCUGCAGCUAACCUGCAGUACCACCUGCCAUACGGAUCACUGCCCCAUCGCUCCAUUUCCCCAGGAUGCUUGCAGGCAUGAUUUACAAGAGGCAGGGGUUGUUUGUGUUCUGCCUGUUGUCAUCUAUGCUCAAGUGUGUAUCAGUGACGUUUUCAUUUUUUCCUGCAUGCUGGGCCGUGGAAGAAACAAGCUGUUUCCUGAUUAUAGGGAUCUGAGCUGCAUGCAUAUUAUUCUCUGUUACACAAUGAGUUUGAUUACUAACAUUGUGGAAAUCACAGGCUCCUCUUCUGGCAAAACCAAUUCUUUUCUGUAAUCUCACAGCAUGAGCGUGGCUGCCAUCUGAAAAUCACUUUCCCAGGAUUGCAUUUUAUCAUUUCGUACUACAGUUUUCUUCCUCUCUUAAAUCAGCUUUUAUCUGUCCUUUUCACAAGACUUAGCCGGGUGCAUGCUGGAUAAGCCCCAACCAGGGCACUGGUCUGUUGCUCUACAGUAUUAAGCAUGUUCCUGUUAGCAACAACUGCUGUGACUGCAGGGAGCCCUGACUCUGGACCAGGUUCCCACUGAGCUUGUGACUCCACAUACCCAGAAGGUGAUAAGCUACACUGCAGGAGUUUGCAGCUGAAGUGUAUGGAAUAGGUAUAUAGGAAGCACAUGAAUAUAAGGAUUAUAUGUAAUUUGGUAAAGGAGGAAACAGAAAUAAGACAAUUCUAGUGAACGUGGCAGUGUGCUCUUGACCCAUGAGCAGCCUAAUGUUUUAGGUCAAGCUUUUUCAAGUAGUCAGAGUUGUAGGGGGAGAGAUAAUAUUGCUUAGUAGAGGUGUGCAAUGCGAUACCUUUGGAUUUAUUGACCUUUUUUGUGCCUGUGCUGUGCACUGUGCUAAAUAAUGGAAAGAAGAACAAGAAAGGAUCUCCACAGGUGGAACAGGGAGUUUUAAACCCCAUGGGAAGGAUGAGAAAGAGGAGGUAGUCAGAUGAAGAGAGCUGGUAUCUAUCCGAGUAAAAGCUGCAGGAUAAUAUUUAAUAAAAUCCAGCCUGGGGCCACCACGUCCAAAAGAACUGUGGGGCACUCACAGAUGGUCCAGCAGAGGGUUGCCAACGUGGUCAGGGUGUACAGCACACAGCCUAGGAGGAGAGUUGGGUUAUUGGAGAAGAGGAGGUUACAGGGCUAAGCUACCUGUGCCUAAGGUGGCCUACCACUGCCUGAAGGGCUGCUGUAGAGACCUGAGAGCCAAUCUCUUCUUGGUAAUGCCAGGCAAUAGAAGCAGGGACAGGAGUUGUAGCCUGUGACUUUUGGGUGGAACAUAAAAACCUCACCAGGAGAGCAGUGCAGUUCUCCAGAGAGGGGAAUUCCCAUCCUUGGAGAUUUUCAACACUUGGCUAAACAGCAUCAAGGCCUAGCUUUGGUAACAGUCCUGCUUUGAGCCAGAGGCUCGUCCAGAGGUCCCUACCAGCCAACACGCCUAAAAUUGCAGCCAUGUCCUAGUUUUCUAUCUCUUCUCUCAUAUCUUUAAUACUGAAUAAAUGAAGAGUAGGGACUGAUCCCUGAUUCCAUGGAUAAGGGACACAGUCUCGUACCUACCCUGCUUUGGUGGCAAAGGGGCACGUGGGGCUAUGUGAAAGCCUGCUAAAAUGGUGCUGAAAGAUUGUUUAGAAAAGUAGGAGACCAAUAAAGUCAAUCAAUUUGUCAAAAGACAAAUAAAGCAAUCAUGUCCGUGGUCCCUUUUGGAAAUGGUCUUCCUUUGGACUAUCCAUUAAACCAUCCCCAGGCAUCACCUGGGAAAGAGCUGGUUGCAGUUGUCCAGACCAGAGCCAGGAGGGAGAUGGUGGCAGAGUGGGGGGGGUCAUCAGAAAGCUUUUGUGCUGGAGCUCCCUCUGCCCGUCUGGAAAGACCUAGUAUUUUAAACCGGCCCUAAGUAUCUUUCCUUACCCAUCUGAAGGGCUCUGGCACCACCAGUGACAUCUCUCCAUGUUGGCAGGACACCUUCUUAGGGCACAGGAGGAGGCAAGAUGGCUCUCCAUUACCUGCUGGAGGAGGCAUGGGAAGGACAGUGCAGGAGAGGAGUAUGAGCCAGACAAAAACAUAUCCGAGUAUCUGUGAAAUUCAAACUUCAAACAGCCCUAGCUUCUGGCUCUGCAACACGCAGAUCUGCCCUGGCAGAGCACCCAAACCUUCAUUCUGUGAUGAACCAAAGUCUGCUGCUCAGACGAGUUGUUUCCAGACACCUGCCUGUGCCAGCCAGCCCAUGUGCCAACAGCGAACCCAUGAAGCACCUGCUUUCUUUUGUUACUUUGCAAAGCUGAGCAACAGAAGACUCUGGAACAUCUUCAGAGACCGAAUUCUGCAUCCCAGAGGAGGGCCACUAAGAUGACCAGAGGGCUGGAGCACCUCUCCUGUGAGGAAAGGUUGAGGGAACUGGGCUUGUUUAGCUUGGAGAAGAGAAGGCUCCGGGGAGACCUCAUUGUGGCCUUCCAGUACUUGAAGUGAGCGUAUAAACAGGAGGGGGAACAGCUGUUUAUGAGGGUGGAUAGUGAUAGGACAAGGGGGAAUGGUUUUAAACUGAGACAGGGAAGGUUUAGGUUAGAUAUUAGGAAGAAGUUUUUCACCCAGAGGGUGGUGACACACUGGAACAGGUUGCCCAAGGAGGCUGUGGAUGCCCCAUCCCUGCAGGCAUUCAAGGCCAGGCUGGAUAUGGCUCUGGGCAGCCUGGUCUGGUGGUUGGCGACCCUGCACAUAGCAGGGGAAUUGAGAUGAUUUGAUUAUUAUGGUCCUUUUUAACCCAGGCCAUUCUAUGAUUCUAUGAUUAAUUUUAAUUAGCCGCAUCUUUGUAGAAGAGGAGGCUGAAGGAAGAUCUCUGCUCUCUACAACUACCUGGACAAGAAGUUGCAGUGAAGAGGGUGUCAAUCUCUUUUCUCAGGUGACAAGUGACAGGACUCAAAGAAACGGUUUCAAGUCACUUCAGGGGAGGCUUGGUUUUGUAUUAGGCAGAAUUUCUUUAAAGAAUGUAGUCAAACAUUGGAAUAAGCUGCCCAGGGAAAUGGUAGAUCCCCCAUCCCUGGAGG